UCAAGCGUGAGGUAAGAGCAUUUGGUGGAUGCCUUGGCAUGUACAGGCGAUGAAGGACGUGGCACGCUGCGAUAAGCGUCGGGGAGUUGUGAGCAAACUUUGAUCCGGCGAUUUCCGAAUGGGGAAACCCACCUUCACCAUUUCUUCUCUGUUACCUUCGGGUAACGGUGGAGAGGUGGAUAAGGUAUCACCGAGUUGAAUAUAUAGACUUGGUGAAGCAAACCCGGGGAACUGAAACAUCUCAGUACCUGGAGGAAAAGACAUCAACCGAGAUUCCGUUAGUAGUGGCGAGCGAACGCGGACCAGGCCAGUGCCUUCAAUUCAACUAGCAAAACACUCUGGAAAGUGUGGCCAUAGUGGGUGACAGCCCCGUAUGCGAAAGUGAUGUUGAAGGACUCGAGUAGGGCGGGACACGUGAAAUCCUGUCUGAACAUGGGGGGACCACCCUCCAAGCCUAAAUACUCGUACAUGACCGAUAGCGAACAAGUACCGUGAGGGAAAGGUGAAAAGCACCCCGAUUAGGGGAGUGAAAUAGUACCUGAAACCGAAUGCUUACAAUCAGUUGGAGCCCCUUUGGGGGGUGACAGCGUACCUCUUGCAUAAUGGGUCAGUGACUUAAUCUACCAUGCAAGCUUAAGCCGUUAGGUGUAGGCGCAGCGAAAGCGAGUCUGAAUAGGGCGACUGAGUAUGAUGGAUUAGACCCGAACCCCGGCGAUCUAGGCAUGACCAGGCUGAAGGUGCGGUAACACGCACUGGAGGGCCGAACCGUUUAAUGUUGAAAAAUUAUCGGAUGAGUUGUGUUUAGGGGUGAAAGGCCAAUCAAGCCGGGAAAUAGCUGGUUCUCCGCGAAAUCUAUUGAGGUAGAGCGUCAGAUGUAUGCCGAUGGGGGUAGAGCACUGGAUGGGCUAGGGCCGCGCGAGCGGUACCAAACCUAACCAAACUCCGAAUACCAUCGAGUCUUGUCUGGCAGACAGACGGCGGGUGCUAAGGUCCGUCGUCAAAAGGGAAACAGCCCUAACCUACAGCUAAGGUCCCCAAGUCAUUACUAAGUGGGAAAGCAUGUGGGAAUCCCAAAACAACCAGGAGGUUGGCUUAGAAGCAGCCAUCCUUUAAAGAAAGCGUAACAGCUCACUGGUCUAAAUAAGGGUUCCUGCGGCGAAGAUGUAACGGGGCUAAAGUAAUGCACCGAAGCUUAGGGUUGCAGUUUACUGCAGCGGUAGCGGAGCGUUCCGUAAGUUGAUGAAGCCGAAGGGUAACCGACGGUGGAGAUAUCGGAAGUGCGAAUGCUGACAUGAGUAGCGAUAAAGAGGGUGAGAUGCCCUCUCGCCGAAAGACCAAGGGUUCCUGCGCAACGCUAAUCGGCGCAGGGUAAGCCGGCCCCUAAGACGAGCCCGAAGGGGGUAGUCGAUGGGAACCACGUUAAUAUUCGUGGGCCUGAAGAUGUGUGACGGAUGGCGGAAGUAGUGUGGCCUUAUUGGAUUGGUCAUGCUGCCAAGUUGUCCCGGGAAAUAGCCUCUUCAUAUAGACCGUACCCGAAACCGACACAGGUGGUCAGGUAGAGUAUACCAAGGCGCUUGAGUGAAGUAUCCUGAAGGAACUCGGCAAAUUGCCUCCGUACCUUCGGAAGAAGGAGGCCCUCUUUUUGCGCAAGCAAUAGGAGGGGGCACAGGCCAGGGGGUAGCGACUGUUUAUCAAAAACACAGGACUCUGCUAAGUCGGCUUCAAGACGACGUAUAGGGUCUGACGCCUGCCCGGUGCUGGAAGGUUAAGAGGAGGAGUGCAAGCUCCGAAUUGAAGCCCCAGUAAACGGCGGCCGUAACUAUAACGGUCCUAAGGUAGCGAAAUUCCUUGUCGGGU
rnacentral:rRNA from 1 species